AGUGAACGCUGGCGGUAGGCCUAACACAUGCAAGUCGAACGGCAGCACAGUAAGAGCUUGCUCUUACGGGUGGCGAGUGGCGGACGUGUGAGGAAUACAUCGGAAUCUACUUUUUCGUGGGGGAUAACGUAGGGAAACUUACGCUAAUACCGCAUACGACCUACGGGUGAAAGCAGGGGAUCUUCUGACCUUGCGCGAUUGAAUGAGCCGAUGUGGGAUUAGCUAGUUGGCGGGGUAAAUGCCCACCAAGGCGACGAUCCGUAGCUCGUCUGAGAGGAUGAUCAUCCACACUGGAACUGAGACACGGUCCAGACUACUGAGGGAGGCAGCAGUGGGGAAUAUUGGACAAUAGGCGCAAGCCUGAUCCAGCCAUCCCGCGUGGGUGAAGAAGGCCUUCGGGUUGUAAAGACCUUUUGUUGGGAAAGAAAAGCAGCAGGUUAAUACCCCGCUGUUCUGACGGUACCCAAAGAAUAAGCACCGGCUAACUUCGUG
rnacentral:rRNA from 1 species